CAAAUGGCGAACCAUUUGUUUGCCGGUACUUGAUGAAUAAGCCCCGGCUAAUUAUGUGCCAGCAGCCGCGGUAAGACAUAAGGGGCAAGUGUUAUCCGGAAUUAUUGGGCGUAAAGGGUGCGUAGGCGGUCUAGUAAGUCAGUGGUGUAAUGGCAACGCUUAACGUUGUCCGGCUAUUGAAACUGCUAAACUUGAGUUAGAUAGAGGCGAGUGGAAUUCCAUGUGUAGCGGUAAAAUGCGUAAAUAUAUGGAGGAACACCAGAGGCGUAGGCGGCUCGCUGGGUCUUAACUGACGCUGAGGCACGAAAGCGUGGGGAGCAAACAGGAUUAGAUACCCUGGUAGUCCACGCCGUAAACGAUGAGUACUAAGUGUCGGGUUAAACCGGUACUGAAGUUAACACAUUAAGUACUCCGCCUGAGUAGUACGUACGCAAGUAUGAAACUUAAAGGAAUUGACGGGACUCCGCACAAGCGGUGGAUCAUGUUGUUUAAUUCGAAGAUACCCGAAAAACCUUACCAGGUCUUGACAUGUUUUUGCAAAAUGAUAGUAAUAUCGUGGAGGUUACCAGAAACACAGGUGGUGCAUGGUUGUCGUCAGCUCGUGUCGUGAGAUGUUAGGUUAAGUCCUAAAACGAGCGAAACCCUUAUCGUUAGUUGCCAGCACGUUAUGGUGGGGACUUUAACGAGACUGCCAAUGAUAAAUUGGAGGAAGGUGAGGAUCACGUCAAAUCAGCAUGCCCCUUAUGACCUGGGCUACAAACGUGAUACAAUGGCUGUUACAAAGGGUAGCUGAAACGCAAGUUCUUGGCCAAUCCCCAAAAACAGUCCCAGUCCGGAUUGAAGUCUGCAACUCGACUUCAUGAAGUUGGAAUCGCUAGUAAUCGCGAAUCAGCAUGUCGCGGUGAAUACGUUCUCGGGGUUUGUUCUCACCGCCCGUCAAACCACGAAAGUUGGCAAUACCCCAAAACGGUAGCCUAACUCGUU
rnacentral:rRNA from 1 species